UUCCUACGGGACGCAGCAGUGGGGGAUAUUGCGCAAUGGGCGAAAGCCUGAUGCAGCGACGCCGCGUGAGGGAUGAAGGUCUUCGGAUCGUAAACCUCUGUCAGCAGGGAAGAACGGUCACUGUGCUAAUCAGCAGUGAAUUGACGGUACCUGCAAAGGAAGCACCGGCUAACUCCGUGCCAGCAGCCGCGGUAAUACGGAGGGUGCGAGCGUUAAUCGGAAUUACUGGGCGUAAAGGGUGUGUAGGCGGGGCUGCCAGUCAGAUGUGGAAAUUAUUGG
rnacentral:rRNA from 1 species